rnacentral:rRNA from 1 species
AUGCAAGUCGAGGGGCAGCAUAGAAGUAGCAAUACUUGGUGGCGACCGGCGCACGGGUGAGUAACGCGUAUGCAACCUACCUAUCGAGAGGGGAAUAACCCGGCGAAAGUCGGACUAAUACCGCAUAAACAGGGGCACCGCAUGGUGAUAUUUGUUAAAGAAAUUCGCUGAUAGAUGGGCAUGCGUUCCAUUAGGUAGUUGGUGAGGUAACGGCUCACCAAGCCGACGAUGGAUAGGGGAACUGAGAGGUUGGUCCCCCACACUGGUACUGAGACACGGACCAGACUCCUACGGGAGGCAGCAGUGAGGAAUAUUGGUCAAUGGGCGGGAGCCUGAACCAGCCAAGUCCGCGUGAAGGAAGAAGGAUCUAUGGUUCGUAAACUUCUUUUGCAGGGGAAUAAAGUGCGGGACGUGUCCUGUUUUGUAUGUACCCUGAGAAUAAGGAUCGGCUAACUCCGUGCCAGCCGCUGC